UAGUAACGGCGAGUGAAGCGGCAACAGCUCAAAUUUGAAAUCUGGCUUCGGCCCGAGUUGUAAUUUGCAGAGGAUGUUUCUGGCGCGGUGCCUUCCGAGUUCCCUGGAACGGGACGCCAUAGAGGGUGAGAGCCCCGUAUGGUUGGAUACUAAGCCUGUGUGAAACUCCUUCGACGAGUCGAGUAGUUUGGGAAUGCUGCUCAAAAUGGGAGGUAAAUCUCUUCUAAAGCUAAAUAUUGGCCAGAGACCGAUAGCGCACAAGUAGAGUGAUCGAAAGAUGAAAAGCACCUUGAAAAGGGGGUUAAACAGUACGUGAAAUUGUUGAAAGGGAAGCGCUCAUGACCAGACUUGUGCUGGGCAGCUCAUCCGGGGUUCUCCCCGGUGCACUCUGCCCAGUUCAGGCCAGCAUCGAUUUUUGCUGGGGGAUAAGAACGGUAGGAACGUGGCCCUCCUUCGGGUGGGUGUUAUAGCCUGCCGUACGAUACCCUGGCGGAGAUCGAGGUUCGCGCAUCUGCAAGGAUGCUGGCGUAAUGGUCAUCAGCGACCCGUCUUGAAACACGGACCAAGGAGUCGUCCAUUAGAGCGAGCGUUUGGGUGUAAAACCCGCACGCGUAAUGAAAGUGAAAUUAGGUGAGAGCUUCGGCGCAUCAUCGACCGAUCCUGAUGUUCUCGGAAGGAUUUGAGUAAGAGUUUUAACGGACGGACCCGAAAGACAGUGAACUAUGCUUGUAUAGGGUGAAGCCAGAGGAAACUCUGGUGGAGGCUCGCAGCGGUUCUGACGUGCAAAUCGAUCGUCAAAUAUGAGCA
rnacentral:rRNA from 1 species